CAUUGUAGAAAGCCGAAUCCAGCUCAGGUACGGGGGAACCAAUUCGUGGGGUGAAACUUAAAAAGCGCCAGCUUUUUAGGUAGGGUGCCUGCAACCCUAACCCGUCAGCUAACCUCGGAGGCCACCGAGAGGAGAAAC
rnacentral:sRNA from 1 species